AACAGUUUUGGUCCUGAGCUAACCGUUCUUUUUUAUUAAGAUUAUACAUGCAAGCCUCAGCACACCAGUGAAAAUGCCCAUAACCCCUUAAAAGACGCGUUGGAGCCGGCAUCAGGCACUACCAUCAAGCCCAUGACGCCUUGCUACGCCACACCCCCACGGGUUUAUCAGCAGUAAUAAACAUUGGGCUAUGAGUGAAAACUUGACCCAACUAUAAUAUAUUAGGGCUGGUCAAUUUCGUGCCAGCCACCGCGGUUAUACGAAAGGCCCAAAAUAACGGCUAACGGCGUAAAAUGUGACUAGAGAUUUCAUAACAUAUAUAAAUAUAUUAAACCUAUAACCUAGUUGUAAAACACUUAGAUAUUAAAGGAAAACCAAACACAUAUUUUUAAUGUUAUAUUCUUGACUACACGAAAGCUUAGAAACAAACUAGGAUUAGAUACCCUACUAUGCUAAGCCCUUAACAUUGAUAGUAUUAUACAAUCUUUCCGCCAGAGAACUACAAGUGAAAAACUUGAAACUCAAAGGACUUGACGGUGUCCCAUACCGACCUAGAGGAGCCUGUCCUAUAAUCGAUACUCCCCGCUCCACCCAACCCCAACUAGCAUUCCUCAGCCUAUAUACCGCCGUCGAUCAGCCUACCCUAUGAAAGUCCAAUAGUAGACACAAUAGCCCUAUCGCUAAUACGUCAGGUCAAGGUGUAGCAAAUGUUGUGGAAGAGAUUGGCUACAUUUUUUAUUAUAAAAAAUACGAAAAAUACUAUGAAACAGUAUAUGAAGGUGAAUUUAGUAGUAAAAUAAACAAGAGUGCUUAUUUUAACACCGCUCUGGGACGCGUACACACCGCCCGUCACCCUCCUCAACUAACCUAUAAAUCCACCCUUUAUAAACCAACAAAAGUUAAAUUAGAGGAGGUAAGUCGUAACAUGGUAAGCGUACCGGAAGGUGUGCUUGGAUUAAC
rnacentral:ncRNA from 1 species